AGAGUUUGAUCAUGGCUCAGAUUGAACGCUGGCGGCAGGCCUAACACAUGCAAGUCGAGCGGUAGCACAGAGAGCUUGCUCUCGGGUGACGAGCGGCGGACGGGUGAGUAAUGUCUGGGAAACUGCCUGAUGGAGGGGGAUAACUACUGGAAACGGUAGCUAAUACCGCAUAACGUCGCAAGACCAAAGUGGGGGACCUUCGGGCCUCAUGCCAUCAGAUGUGCCCAGAUGGGAUUAGCUAGUAGGUGGGGUAACGGCUCACCUAGGCGACGAUCCCUAGCUGGUCUGAGAGGAUGACCAGCCACACUGGAACUGAGACACGGUCCAGACUCCUACGGGAGGCAGCAGUGGGGAAUAUUGCACAAUGGGCGCAAGCCUGAUGCAGCCAUGCCGCGUGUGUGAAGAAGGCCUUCGGGUUGUAAAGCACUUUCAGCGGGGAGGAAGGCGAUAAGGUUAAUAACCUUGUCGAUUGACGUUACCCGCAGAAGAAGCACCGGCUAACUCCGUGCCAGCAGCCGCGGUAAUACGGAGGGUGCAAGCGUUAAUCGGAAUUACUGGGCGUAAAGCGCACGCAGGCGGUCUGUCAAGUCGGAUGUGAAAUCCCCGGGCUCAACCUGGGAACUGCAUUCGAAACUGGCAGGCUAGAGUCUUGUAGAGGGGGGUAGAAUUCCAGGUGUAGCGGUGAAAUGCGUAGAGAUCUGGAGGAAUACCGGUGGCGAAGGCGGCCCCCUGGACAAAGACUGACGCUCAGGUGCGAAAGCGUGGGGAGCAAACAGGAUUAGAUACCCUGGUAGUCCACGCCGUAAACGAUGUCGAUUUGGAGGUUGUGCCCUUGAGGCGUGGCUUCCGGAGCUAACGCGUUAAAUCGACCGCCUGGGGAGUACGGCCGCAAGGUUAAAACUCAAAUGAAUUGACGGGGGCCCGCACAAGCGGUGGAGCAUGUGGUUUAAUUCGAUGCAACGCGAAGAACCUUACCUGGUCUUGACAUCCACAGAACUUUCCAGAGAUGCAUUGGUGCCUUCGGGAACUGUGAGACAGGUGCUGCAUGGCUGUCGUCAGCUCGUGUUGUGAAAUGUUGGGUUAAGUCCCGCAACGAGCGCAACCCUUAUCCUUUGUUGCCAGCGGUCCGGCCGGGAACUCAAAGGAGACUGCCAGUGAUAAACUGGAGGAAGGUGGGGAUGACGUCAAGUCAUCAUGGCCCUUACGACCAGGGCUACACACGUGCUACAAUGGCAUAUACAAAGAGAAGCGACCUCGCGAGAGCAAGCGGACCUCAUAAAGUAUGUCGUAGUCCGGAUUGGAGUCUGCAACUCGACUCCAUGAAGUCGGAAUCGCUAGUAAUCGUAGAUCAGAAUGCUACGGUGAAUACGUUCCCGGGCCUUGUACACACCGCCCGUCACACCAUGGGAGUGGGUUGCAAAAGAAGUAGGUAGCUUAACCUUCGGGAGGGCGCUUACCACUUUGUGAUUCAUGACUGGGGUGAAGUCGUAACAAGGUAACCGUAGGGGAACCUGCGGUUGGAUCACCU
rnacentral:rRNA from 1 species